GAUGAACGCUGGCGGCGUGCCUAAUACAUGCAAGUCGAGCGAACAGAUAAGGAGCUUGCUCCUUUGACGUUAGCGGCGGACGGGUGAGUAACACGUGGGUAACCUACCUAUAAGACUGGAAUAACUCCGGGAAACCGGGGCUAAUGCCGGAUAACAUUUAGAACCGCAUGGUUCUAAAGUGAAGGAUGGUUUUGCUAUCACUUAUAGAUGGACCCGCGCCGUAUUAGCUAGUUGGUAAGGUAACGGCUUACCAAGGCAACGAUACAUAGCCGACCUGAGAGGGUGAUCGGCCACACUGGAACUGAGACACGGUCCAGACUCCUACGGGAGGCAGCAGUAGGGAAUCUUCCGCAAUGGGCGAAAGCCUGACGGAGCAACGCCGCGUGAGUGAUGAAGGUCUUCGGAUCGUAAAACUCUGUUAUUAGGGAAGAACAAAUGUGUAAGUAACUGUGCACGUCUUGACGGUACCUAAUCAGAAAGCCACGGCUAACUACGUG
rnacentral:rRNA from 1 species